rnacentral:rRNA from 1 species
AUUGAACGCUGGCGGCAUGCCUUACACAUGCAAGUCGAACGGUAACAGGUCUUCGGAUGCUGACGAGUGGCGAACGGGUGAGUAAUACAUCGGAACGUGCCCGAUCGUGGGGGAUAACGAAGCGAAAGCUUUGCUAAUACCGCAUAAGAUCUACGGAUGAAAGCAGGGGACCGCAAGGCCUUGCGCGAACGGAGCGGCCGAUGGCAGAUUAGGUAGUUGGUGGGAUAAAAGCUUACCAAGCCGACGAUCUGUAGCUGGUCUGAAGGGACGACCAGCCACACUGGGGCUGAGACACGGCCCAGACUCCUACGGGAGGCAGCAGUGGGGAAUUUUGGACAAUGGGCGCAAGCCUGAUCCAGCCAUGCCGCGUGCAGGAUGAAGGCCUUCGGGUUGUAAACUGCUUUUGUACGGAACGAAAAGACUCUGGUUAAUACCUGGGGUCCAUGACGGUACCGUAAGAAUAAGCACCGGCUAACUACGCGCCAGCAGCCGCGGUAACAC